GUUAGGGUGGGCACUCUAAGGAGACUGCCGGUGACAAACCGGAGGAAGGUGGGGAUGACGUCAAGUCAUCAUGGCCCUUACGGCCUGGGCUACACACGUGCUACAAUGGUCGGUACAGAGGGAAGCCAAGUCGCGAGGGCAAGCUAAUCUCACAAAACCGAUCGUAGUCCGGAUCGCAGUCUGCAACUCGACUGCGUGAAGUCGGAAUCGCUAGUAAUCGCGAAUCAGAAUGUCGCGGUGAAUACGUUCCCGGGCCUUGUACACACCGCCCGUCACACCAUGGGAGUGGGUUGCACACAAGAAGUAGCGUAGUCUAACCUCG
rnacentral:rRNA from 1 species